UCCCUUUCCGUGAUCAGGCCCAGGAGAGGUUUCUGGGAGUUGUAGUUCCACUCACCGUAGUCGGCCUCUGACAAACAGCCCCUCCCCCAUCAGCUUGUGUUAAAAAGAAGAAAAACUAAGCACUGAUUCCCCUGAUAGUGGUGGCCUGGGAAGGUAAAGAACUCUCUUAAGCAAAGGUGUCAAGAUAUUCGUCCAGAAGAAAUCAAAGGCAGCUGUGAUCCUGUUAUAUCCUUGCAAUUCUUCCUUUCCUCCAUACCCCAUUGAUUCCACUUCUCCAGUCUAGGCAUCUCAAGGAUGACAACAGCCCUGCCUUCACCUCGCAGAUAACCCAGGGUGUUGCAGAGGCCCUUAAGAUCACCUACUAUCUGCACACUGUCUGGCAUCCCCAGUCUUCUGAAUACACUUGUGAACCUGUUGAGGACUUGAAGUUGCUAUUCCAGAAGAAACCUGGGGGGAUUGUGAAUGAAUAAAGACUGUCUUCUGUUAAAUUAAGGAUACCAGCCCAUAUCCACCCCUCAUCCCUUGAAUGUUGCCUAUACUCAAUUCCAGUCAACCUCCUCCCUGGGAUCCAUUGAGGAAGGGACAGCUCUAUGCCCCUUGUCAGGCUGAAGAAGUCCCAGAAGAUAGGACCUCUGCCCCUUGUCCACCCAAGUGAUUUGAGGUCCUGUAUUGCUUGAGGUGGGAGUGGAUGGGGAUAGCAAUGUUAGCAACAGUUAUAUACAUUUGCAAUAACUGUAUCAACAACAGUUGCUAGACAAUGAGGAACCAUUGCCCAAGAUAAAUAUGUGUUAACCAAUGAAUGUGUUCCCUAGACAGGAUGUUGGACACUAAAUCACAGACGGGACUUUCCCUAGAAUAAUGUCUGUGCGCUAUCUAUUUUGGCUCACCUUAAGGUGAACCUGGGCUCAUUAUAUUGUUUUUACCAUAAAUUAAUACCCUCCCCCAAGUGGGUUUUUCUCUUUGCAUUAUGGGUAGCUGCAUGUGAAGUUCUAUUUUGCUUUUGUGUGUGUUUUGGUAACCAGGUGACUGUGGUUUGGACCAGAUUUAGAAUGCUUGUUAGUAUUUUCUGCUCCAUGUAAGUCCCAUGAUUUAUUCCAGUGGUGUGCCUAUCUUCCUUAAGAAAUAGAACCCACUGGGAG